rnacentral:rRNA from 1 species
CCUACGGGUGGCAGCAGUGAGGAAUAUUGGUCAAUGGGCGCGAGCCUGAACCAGCCAAGCCGCGUGAAGGAGGACGGUCCUAUGGUUUGUAAACCUCUUUUUUAAAGGAAAAAAGUCAGGCACGUGUCCCUUCAUGACUGUACCUUAUGAAUCAGGAUCGGCUAACUACGUGCCAGCAGCCGCGGUAAUACGGAGGGUCCGAGCGUUAUCCGGAAUUAUUGGGUUUAACGGGUGCGUAGGGGGGUUGUUAAGUCAGAUGUGAAAGUUUGCGGCUUAACCGUAGAACUGCAGUUGAAACUGGCAGUCUUGAGUAGGGGAGAGGUAGGCGGAAUGCGUGGUGUAGCGGUGAAAUGCAUAGAUAUCGCGAAGAACCCCGAUUGCGAAGGCAGCGUGCUAGACCGUGACUGACGCUGAGGCUCGAAAGCGUGGGUAGCAAACAGGAUUAGAUACCCCUGUAGUC